rnacentral:lncRNA from 1 species
UAUAAGUUAACUUGAAACAUAAACAAAAUAUAAUUCUUAGCAUUUACACAACCAUUUCAAUCCCUAUACAUUCCAUAUAAACCAUAAUAUGUAUAGCAAAAUCUAUUAGAGCAAGUUAGAUAAUGUGAUCUGAAGUGUUGAUCCAAUCUCCCGAUUUCCCGAAAAUCUACAAAAAACAUUAAACAAUACAAGUAAGCUUAAUGAAGCUUAGUAAGUUCAUUGGUUUCAAUCAUAAAUCUUACCGAACAUAAUAUAAUAAUUCAUUUAAAUAAAUAAUUUUAUAUACACUUCCUGCCAAUCACAACUUCAAUUGAUGGAUCCACUUAUUCUGAUCAAUAACAAUAAUAACUUUAAAUCUUCAAACAUUAAUUCCAUAUGCCACUUACCAACCUUUAACAAAUUGGAAAACGUCUUACGAAUUUGAGUACAUCGUAUAUAGAAGCCCGAAGGCUGCACAGAAGCCCAUGAGUGCUAAACAGAAACCCAUAAGGGUUGAACAGAAGUUCAUAGGAGCUAAAUGGAAACCCAUAAGGGUUAAACUGAAGCUCAAAAGAGCUAAACGGAAACGUACUAGGGUUAAACGGAAACUCAUAUGAGUUAACUGAAGCUCAUGAGAGCUAAACGGAAAGUAAACAUUAAAGUUUGCAACAAAUGCUGAACCUCGGUUUACUUGGGUAAAUUGCUGUCAAUUUUUCCUUUGCUAGAAUGACUGCAUCAAUCCCGCAUUUCGUUCGUUUCGAACAUUCAAUUCAAUUUCAUAACUUUAACAUUAAUUUUAUUUUCAAAAAAUGAUAUAAAUAAAUACAUAAUACUAUUCAUUAAUUUAACAUUUAAAAUUUAAAUUUAACCAUACGAUCUUACCUGCGUUAAGUUGCAAGAUUUGAAGAAGUUUAAGGACUAUUCUGCUAUUUUCUCUUUUCACAUUUGUCUACGGUCUCUUGAUCUAAAAUGUAACAUUAUUCAUUCAUUAGCAUAUAUUUCAGUUUCAAUUCACUUCACAAUUAAUACCCCUCAAUUUUUUGAAAUUACACAAUUACUCCAAUUUUGACAAUUUUUACAAAUUAGUCCCUUACUAAUUAAUCCAUCAAUUGAGCUAAUUUUUUUCUCAAUUGGAAAUUUAUCUAAACAUUCUAGGCUAAUAUACAGCUCUUGAUAUCCAUAAUUUCAACACUAAACCCUAAUUGUUAACCUUUUCACAAUUUGGUCCUAAAAUCAAUAUUUAUCAAAAUCACUUGAUAAAAUCCUCAUAUAAUAAAAUUAAAGCUCUAAAUAUAUUAAUUCAUCACAAAAGUCCAGAACUCACCAAUGCUAAGUUUCAAAAUUAUCUAUAAAAUCAAAAACUAAUGAAUUAGAUAGUUAGACCUAAUUGUAAAAGUCUUAAAAACACAAAAAAAUUUAAGAAAAGAGCAAAAAUUGAACUCAAAUGAUGUAAAAAUAUGAAAAAUCAGCUUUUGGAGACCCUUCUAUGGUAUUGGCUGAAGAUUGAUGAAGAAAUGUCUAGAAUUCAAUUUAGUCACUUGUUUCAAUUUUUAUCUUAAUUCCCAAAUGACCAUUUUGACCCUAAGUCAUCCAAUUUCAAGAUUUUUCUCUGCACAUACCGUUUCAGCCUUUUUACAAGUGUUUAAUUGCCUUUCUGGUCCUCGCUUAUUUAACACUUAAGCUAUUUAAUCUCUAUUUCUUUAACUAGCAAGUUUUGCACCUUUUUCAAUUUAGUCCUUUUUAUUUAAUUAACUAUCAAAAUGUUAAAAUUUUCUAACAAAUAUUUAAUACUAACUUAAUGGCACUUCGUAAAUAUUUAUAAAAAUAUUUACGGCUCGGUUUAUGAAAUCGAGGUCUCGAUACCUCAUUUUCAAACCCAAUUUACCUAAUAAAUUCUUCUAAAUCACAAAUUACUAAUUCAAAUGUCUUUCUAAAGUCAAACUUGACUCAUAAAUAAUAACUAAUAAAUUUUCGAACUCACUCGUCGGAUUUAAUGGUCUUGAACCACUGUUUUCGAUAUCACUAAAUUCAAGUCGUUACAAAAAACUUUGGAUAACUUAUUUAAUUGAUUUUGAUAUUUGAAAUUUCAAUUUUCAAUAUUGAAAAAAAAAUUUAGAAAUUUCAACAAGGAGGUAAACAAGUACAUUUUGACAAUUUUUAAAGCAUUAUUUUAGUUUUUACCGCUUUUUCACUUUAAUCUUUAUUUUUUUAUCCCGAUCAAUAUUUUAAAAAAAAGAAGAAGAUAUUUUUUGAGUGACCAAAAUGAAAGCAAGCUAUAAGUUGGGUGACCACAAUGAAAGUGUGAACAUGAUGUGGUGUGUACAAGUUAAUUGCCGUUAAAAAUUUAACGUUUAGGUGACUAAAAUAAAAAUACUCUAAAAGUUAAAAAACGAAAUUACAAAGAUUUCAUUUUGAGUCACCAAAUUAAAAUCUCCCCAAAAAUUUGAGAGGACUAAAUCGUACAAAAUGAUCUAAAGAAGAAAGAAAAGAGAGCUAACUUUACUAUUUAUGUUUAAUCAUAUGACACAUGAAUUUAGAUAAAAUGAUUUAAAAUAUAUUACAAUAUGAGAAGGUUAUCAAAUAGAAAUUAUCAAAGUUAGUAGAGGGUGAAGAUAGAUACUGAAGGUAAUUGAAAAGGCUCGUAUAUUGUGAGAAAUAAAUUUGAGUAUUGACUAAAUUGUAAGAGAGUGAAAAGUAUUGGGGCAAAAGUGAGAGAAUUAAGAGUUGGAGUGAUUAGAUUGAAUUGAAGGGAAAAAGAGGAGGGAUUAGAGGUGAAAUUUUACCAAAAGAGAGUAUGACUAUGAAUGGUAUUGUAGAGAAAGUUGAUGGACUAAAUGGUCAACCUAUAAUUUAGAUAAUUAUAACAUGUUAAUGGUUAAGGACUAAAUUGAUGUAGAAUGAUAAGUGGUGGAAAUAUUUUAAUGUUUAUUUUUUAAAAUUAUUAAACUAAUAGAUAUUAUUUUAGAAACAUGAAGAAAGGAUGAUGGCAUUUAUUCAUCUUUUCUCUCCCACACGUUACUUCCUUCAUGAACAAAAUUAAGUUUUAGUUUUUAUUCAUUUUAGUCUAUUUUCCACCAUUUCCAAGUCUUCCAAGCUUAACUCCUCCAAUUUUCUUUAUGAAUAUUUAGUGAAAUCAAUAGAAAAACUUAGUAGCUAUCUUAGUUUCAUGAGAAGUGCAACCAUAGUUGUCUUAGAGGAGAGAGAAAAUAAGAAUUAAGGUUUGAUCAUAAGAGAUUAAGGUAAGUAUGAUCAGUUUUUCAUGAAUUUCAUGUUAGUUUUGUUUAAAGAACAUAGAUAUGUUAUUUGAUUAUAAUUUUGAUAAGUAAAUCUUGUAUGCUUUUAUGUGAAAAUGAAGAAAAUUAGGAGAAGCAAACAACAAGUUGGUGACAAAGGCAAAGAAAAAACCAAAGAAUAGAAGAAGGCAAAGAAAGCUUGAUUCCAAGCCUUUGGUAGUAAGUACAACAAUACUUUUUACUUAAUAAAUAUCUAAGUAUAGAAUUUUGUUAGAUCAACUAUAUUAAUAUUUAUGUGAUUAAUAUUGUACAUGAAUAUGUUAAUACUUAGUUGAUAUUAAUUAGUGAAUGUGUUGAAAUUUAUUGGAUAUCAAUUACAAGGUAAUAAUAUUAUGUUUUGUAUUGAAAGUUUGAGAAAAGGGACUAAUUUGUAAAAUGGGGAAAAGUUUAUAUGAAAGGUAAAAAUUAUGAAUGAAUAUAUGUAUUUAUAUAUAUGAAGUGAUAUAUGCUAUUGAAUGAUUUAUGUCAUGAUUUUGAACUAUUAUGAGAAUGAUUGUGGAGUUUUGAACUGAUGGGGAUUAAAUUGAAAAAAAAAUUCAAAAGUAUAUAAAUUUUGUUCUGAAAUGUAAAUGAGAAAUUGACUCUAUUAUAUUUGUCCAUAUAGGCAAGAUAUGAACUAGUAAAGUAUAGAUGACAUGCCAUUAGAAAGCAUUUAGUGUGCUCUUUGUUCUGUUAAUGCACUUCGAUGCCACUUUGUUUUGAUUAAACACUUCAACUCUAUUAUGUUUUAACAUAGCACUCUGAUGCUACUAUGUUCUAUUAUUGCACUUUAGUGCAUCUUUGUAUUACUUUUGCAUAUUCUACAUGUUCUGUUAAAUAUACAUUGGACAUUCGAUAAAUUCUAAAAGAUAAAAUAAGGUUAAGAUUAUUGUGUUAAGAUUAAGCAUAAGUGACUGGAAUGAUAAUGAAUUCAAGCAUAAUAAAUGAGGUAUAGUAUAGAAAUUCUAUUGAUGUUAAGCUCUAAACUUAAUUAUUAUAACAUUUUUGUAUUUUGUUUACAUUUAAUUAAUGAAAAGGUAAGUUUAAUUCUCAUCGUAUUUACUAAGCUUUCACAAGCUUACUGCAUUAUUUUUAAUGCGUGGGUAAAGAUGUGAAGUGAGGAUUUGUCGAGGAUCAAUCUCUUCACAUCUUAAAGACUUGAAGAAGAAGAGUAUGAAAUCUCCACCAUUUUGAUCUAAGUAAAUGGCAUGUACAUAGGCGAAAUAAUGAGUAAGAAAUGGUAAGGAGAGAUUGAUUGAUAGACAUGACGAAACACUGAAAACUAUCUUUACAUCUAUGGUCCAACUCAUGAAUUAAAUGGAGAUUUUACAUUCGGCUAGGGUUCCAUCUUAUUAAAAUUUCCCCAACUUUUAAUUAUUUUUAUUCCUAUACUAAAUUUUAAAUUUAAUAAGAAUUAUGGUCGAUGUCUAUGAAUUUCACCCUAGUGAUCAUUAGCAUGAUUAUUUUGUAUGGUCUCGACAACCCUACACUAAUCUUAAUGGACUGAAAUAAAUUACAAGAGCCGAUGUGCUCAAAUGUGGACCAAAACCUCGAAACUAAAAAUAGUAAAGAAAUAAGGCAAAAAAAUGUUUACCUUACAAGGACUAGGUGCAUUGAUAUGUGGAUAUUCAUAAUUCUCGCCGAGACAAAAUGCAGUCGAGCCAUUAAUCAGACAGAUUAACGUUGAAAAGAAAACCCUAAAAUAAGGGAUAAAGGUGGAUUAUAAAAGGUUUGCAACAUUGCAUCAUUGUAUUAAAACUUAUAAACCUGCCUUGAAACUGUAUAGGAAAGAUGCAGCGGUGGAAAUUAUGAAACCCCCAUGCAACUAUUCAUAUAUUGAGAUUUCAAUCCUUUUAUGUUCCAUAAACCUGUAAUACAUUUGUAAACAAAUUAGGUUGGCAGUUUCAAUCCAAAGUCAUACAGAUUAGGUGCUGGUCACCGCAAAUUCUAAUAUUUAUAGAGUUGGAAAGUAUGGGAGAGAGCGAGUUUUGAAAAAGCAUGACGAUAGUAAAGAAAAAGAAUAAGAAGACGAGAAAGAAGAGAAGUUGGAGGGACAAGAAUAUCGUAAGGAGGAGAAAGGAGAUAAGAAGGAGGAGGAGGAGAAGAAAGAUGAGGAGUGUGAAGAUAAGGAGGAUAAAGAAGGUGGUGGAAAGGAGGAGGAGGAGAAGAAGUUUCAAGAUAAGAAGAAGAAUUUAGAGAUAAAUAUGGAGAUGGGUGUAAAUAAAAGAAAUCAACCCAUUGUAUUAUAUUGUGUAGUAUGAUAAUUUACAAGUAAAUCAAAUUGAGCCAAAAGGAGAAUUUAUCUGCUAAUUGUUUCCUUUGAAGGAGAUGAUUCAACGCCUGCAAUUGGGGCCUAUGUAAUGCUAAUUUCACUCAACUCUGGACUUUUGAGUAGUCCCAAAUGUAUUAUCUUUCACUAUAUCUUCCAAACUUUUAUUUAACUUUUUAAGGGGU